rnacentral:lncRNA from 1 species
CCCCCCCCCCCCCCCCAUUGGGGUUUUGCUCGGGGUCUUUGCCCUGCCGGCCACAGCUGUGGCUUCGCUGCCUUUUUGGGGCAAGAUUCCUGCACUUUGGUUAACUCCCUCCGACAAGAGCUCCCCCCCACCCCCAAGCCUUUAAAAUUUGCAUUUUUGGGAUCUUGCCCCAUAUCUGGGGGCGGCGAGGCUGGAAAAAAGCCCCCUUUGUGGUCGGUGACCCCCCCGAGGAGCAUGGGGGGACACACAGCUGCUUGGUGCUGUGCAGCCCUGCGGGGUUGUUCCCCCAAAUCCCCCCCCCAAAAAAAUUAUCCUGGGCUAGCGAAGGGGUAAUGGGGGUGUCUUGGGGGGGGUCACGGGGGAAACUGAGGCUGCUGUGACCCUGGGACCGGUCCCCUGGGGGGGUUGCUGCUUUUUAUAUGACCGGAAAAAUGAUUUUUUCCAAACAGGAAAACAUUUUUUUGGAGGGGGGGGAGGGGGGGGGGCGUGGGUACCAGCGGGACAUCCCCAGGGAGCUGAUGCUUGAUGGGGAAACUUGGGGAAACCGAGGCACGGGGCCGUGAGGAGCACAACUCUCCUGAUUUUUGGGGCUUUUGGGAAUCCUGCUGGGUUGGGGGGGGCCCCGCUGAGGUUUCACCCCCCGCCCCCCCCCCUUUUUAUCUCUCCGCAGGGGACGGCUGCGGCCACACGGUGCUGGCGGCGCGCAGCGGGACGCUGAGCUCCAGGAACUACCCGGGCACCUACCCCAACCACACGGCGUGCCGCUGGCAGCUGCGUGCCCCCCCCCGACACCUCCCUCAUCCUCGUUUUCGGGGACCUCGACCUGGAGCCCUCGGAGCGCUGCGCCCGCAGCUCCCUGCUGCUCACCCACCCCGACAGCGGGGCCACCUACGGGCCCUACUGCAGGGACGCCGGCCCCGCUGCCUCGCCCCUGGUGACCAACUGGAGCUCCGUGACCGUCCUGUUCAGCAGCAGCAGCCACCGCUCGGGCCGAGGUCUCCUCCUGUCCUACGCCAGCUCGCAGCACCCAGACGUGGUCUCCUGCUUGAAGAGAGGCACCCACCUGGCCCAGGAGCACACCAGCGUGUACUGCCCUGCCGGCUGCAAGGACAUCGAGGGGGACAUCUGGGGCAAUGCCCACCAGGGCUACCGGGACACCUCGGUGCUGUGCAAGGCGGCCGUGCACGCCGGGGUGAUCGCGGACGAGACGGGCGGGCAGGUCACCCUGUCCCAGGAGAAGGGGAUCACGCUCUACGAGUCCGCCUUCGCCAACGGGCUCCACUCCAAAAGGGGCUCCCUCUCGGAGAAGCGUCUCCUGUUCCACAGAGCCUGCGGCGAUGCCCUGGAGGUGGCCGCCUUCAACGCCUCGUCCUGGUGGCAGGAGGUGGACGCGCUGGGGCAGGAGCGGGGCUGGGUGGCUGA